UAACAACGAACUGUGAGAAGUCAGCAGAGGCCAUAGUACCUCAAAAAAAAUGAGGGAAGGGC
rnacentral:ncRNA from 1 species